GAGGGUACAGCUCAAGUGGCAGAGCACAUGCUUAGCAUGCACGAGGUCCUGGGUUCAAUACCCAGUACCUCG
rnacentral:tRNA from 1 species